ACAGGGGUGCCUUUGGCUGAGAUGGUUUACCAAUCCCUUAUGACCUGAUCUAGUUAAUACUAGCGUAGGGAGUCAUAUCA
rnacentral:ncRNA from 1 species